UACCACAGCCAUAUCACCCUGCAGCCCAAGACCGGUUACUCACUGAAGCUAAGUAGGGCUGAGCCUGGUCAUUACCUGGAUGGGAGACUACUUGGGAAAAACUAGGUUGCUGUUGGAA
rfam:Danio rerio chromosome 11, GRCz11 reference primary assembly.